rnacentral:lncRNA from 1 species
AACUAUUGCAGAACGACAAUGCAUUUGGUAAGUUACCAAACGUGCAUUGCACAUAUUACAUGAUCAAAUGGGUUGGAGAUUUCCAGACUCCUCAGGUGAGAAUUGUAUCUCCAGAGGGUGAACAACUGGGAUGCUGGUGUAGGAUGUCUGCUAUGCAUUGGGAAGCCCGGCGCCGGCAGACCAUGGUGGACCGCAGGAUGUCCAGGGCCAAGCAGCAGAUGACAAAGGACCCUUCAGAGCCAAGCUCAAAGCCACUGGCAGAGUCUAACGCACCAGCUCAGCAGCCAGCCGUGACAGAAUGUUCACACUGCAAAAACAAGCUCCAGUACAGUGCUAAGAUUGACAACAGAUACUCUUCCAUACAGUACUCCCAGCAGUGGUGA